UCAGAUAAAGAAACCCGAAAAUUCCAUCGAUGUAUCUUCUAUCAAUUACCUUAAAGCCGUGAAAGAACUAGCCAUUAGUGUUGGUGCUAAGGACAACAUCCAACUACAAACCCAGAUAAGACGUAUUAAACUUCUGGAUAGAAUAAUUAAUUAUCCAAAAACGGAUAAUCAAAGCGAAAAGUUAACAUUAAGAGAAUUACACAGUUUAUUACCUUCGAUCAAUUGGAUAAAACUGAUACACGUUAUCACAAAUUCCACUUUUAAAUAUUCAAAUAUUUCGAUAAAUGAU